ACUCUAAAGAGACUGCCGGUGUCAAACCGAGGAAGGUGGGGAUGACGUCAAGUCCUCAUGGCCUUUAUGACCAGGGCUACACACGUACUACAAUGGCAGGUACAAAGGGCAGCCACUUAGCGAUAAGGAGCGAAUCCCGUAAAACCUGUCUCAGUCCGGAUUGGAGUCUGCAACUCGACUCCAUGAAGUUGGAAUCGCUAGUAAUCGCAGAUCAGCACGCUGCGGUGAAUACGUUCCCGGGCCUU
rnacentral:rRNA from 1 species